UUGUGAAGCUACUUGAAUGAAUUGAAUUCAAUUUUUAUAUUAUUUUUAAUUUAUAAAUUUAAAUUUUUAAUUUUUAAUAAAAAUUUAACAAAUUAUUUGAUAAAGAAAAAAAUAGCUAGACUUUUCCAUUUAAAUAACUAUGUUCAUUUUCUUUAUUUCCCUCUGCAUUUUCUGUUUUUUGAGAUGGAGUUUCGCUUUUGUAGUCCAGGCUGGAGUGCACUGGUGCAAUCCUGACUCACCACAACCUCCACGUCCCAGGUUCAAGCGAUUCUCCUGCUUCAGCCUCCCAAGUAGAUAAGGUCUCACUCUGUUGUCCAGGCUGGUGUACAGUGGCUCAGUUAUGGCUCCCUGCAGCUUCAAACUCUUGAGCUCAAGUGAUCUUCCCGUCUCAGCCUGCCAAGUACCUGGGACUAUGACUGUGCACCACCAUACCCGGCUAAUUUUUUAAAUUUUUCUUUCAGUAGAGAGGAAGUCUUGCUGUGUUGCCCAGGCUGGUCUCAAACCCCUGAGCUCAAGAGAUCCUUCUGCCUUGGCCUUCCAAAGUGCUGGGAUUACAGGCAUGAGGCACCACACUCAGCCUUCUUAACACACCAUUUACUGACAGAAUCCUUUUCCUCUGAAAUGCUCUAUUUAUCAAAAAUUAAAUUUCUAUGAAUGGU